rnacentral:rRNA from 1 species
AGAGUUUGAUCCUGGCUCAGGACUAACGCUGGCGGCGUGCCCAACACAUGCAAGUCGAACGGAAACAUGUCUGUAGCAAUACAGAUGAUGUCGAGUGGCGGACGGGUGAGUAAUACAUAGAUAAUCUACCUUUAGGUCGGGGACAACCCAGGGAAACUUGGGCUAACACCCGAUAUUAUCAUGAGACCGCAUGGUUUUAUGAUGAAAUCAAUUAGAUUGGCCAAAAGAUGAGUUUAUGCCUGAUUAGCUAGUUGGCGGAGUAAAAGCCCACCAAGGCUAUGAUCAGUAGCUGGUCUGAGAGGACGAACAGCCACACUGGAACUGAGACACGGUCCAGACUCCUACGGGAGGCAGCAGUGAGGAAUUUUGCUCAAUGGGCGCAAGCCUGAAGCAGCGACGCCGCGUGAACGAUGAAGUCUUUCGGGAUGUAAAGUUCUGUCAGCAGGGACAAUAAUGAUGGUACCUGCAGAGGAAGCACCGGCAAACUAUGUGCCAGCAGCCGCGGUAAUACAUAGGGUGCGAGCGUUGUCCGGAUUUACUGGGCGUAAAGAGCGUGUAGGCGGUAAGAUCAGUCAAAUUUUAAAUACUCCUGGCUCAACCAGAGUUUGGAUUUGAUACUAUCUUGCUAGAGAUUGGGAGAGGAAAGCGGAACUAACAGUGUAGCGGUGAAAUGCGUAGAUAUUGUUAGGAACACCCAUGGCGAAGGCAGCUUUCUGGACCAAUUCUGACGCUGAGACGCGAGAGCGUGGGGAUCAAACAGGAUUAGAUACCCUGGUAGUCCACGCUGUAAACGAUGUACAUUAGGUAUAGGGGGUAUCGACCCCUUCUGUGCCGAAGCUAACGCGUUAAAUGUACCGCCUGGGGAGUACGGUCGCAAGAUUAAAACUCAAAGGAAUUGACGGGGGCCCGCACAAGCAGUGGAUCAUGUGGUUUAAUUCGACGAUACCCGAAGAACCUUACCAGAACUUGACAUCUAGUUGAAGGCUAUGGAAGCAUAGCUGGGUCCGCAAGGACAAACUAAGACAGGUGGUGCAUGGUUGUCGUCAGCUCGUGUCGUGAGAUGUUAGGUUAAGUCCUGCAACGAGCGCAACCCUCGUACUGUGUUGCUACAUUUAGUUGAGCACUCUCAGUAGACUGCCCGUGGUAAACGGGAGGAAGGUGGGGAUGACGUCAAAUCAUCAUGCCCUUUAUGUUCUGGGCUACACACAUGAUACAAUGGUUGAUACAAAGGGAUGCGAAGCCGCGAGGCGGAGCCAAUCUCAUAAAAUCAGCCUCAGUUCAGAUUGUAGGCUGCAACUCGCCUGCAUGAAGCCGGAAUUGCUAGUAAACGCAGAUCAGCAUGCUGCGUUGAAUACGUUCCCGGGCCUUGUACACACCGCCCGUCACACCAUGAAAGCCGGAAAUAUCCGAAGUCAGUGAGCCAACCGCAAGGAGGCAGCUGCCGAAGAUAGCGCCGGUGAUUGGGGUGAAGUCGUAACAAGGUA